AGGGCUAGACAUGGCCGCCUGCUGGGCCUAGGCCGUGUGUGUCCUCCUUUCCCUCUGUGACCAUGGCUUGGGCCUUGUGUGUCCUCCUUUCCCUCUGUGACCGUGGCACUGACCCGACGGCAGGAUCGUGUGGUUUCGCACCUGAUGCUGGCCAGGCACAGGGUACAUGGCCUCUCACGGCGACACCAGGUUUGUGCCUGCAGCCCACCAGCUCAUCUCCCUCCCAACGUGUGCUCUCUCCCGACCCCACAGCUCUUCUGUGCAGAUGGCGAGUACAACUCCAUGGCUGCGGCCUUCUUCAACACCCCGGAGAAGAGCGUGGUGAGCCUCUUCCACGACCCGCCAGGCUCCUACAACCCCCUGACCCUCGGCCUGUUCACGCUGGUCUACUUCUUCCUGGCCUGCUGGACCUACGGGCUCACGGUGUCUGCCGGGGUCUUCAUCCCGUCCCUGCUCAUCGGGGCUGCCUGGGGCCGGCUCUUUGGGAUCUCCCUGUCCUACCUCACGGGGGCGGCGGUGAGUGGGGCCGGAGGGGAGGCUGUGGGGCCCUGCAGCUGAGCCAGGUCUUGCGGCAUCGCGGGCCGGAGCAGAAGUCCCAGAGCAGGACAAAAGUGUCGCACCUCACAUGGUUCACGGGCCGUGGGCGUUGUCCUGCUGUGGUGGCAGCAUGUACUGUGGCAGCGCAGCCCAUGUGUGGAGUCUGGACCAGGCGAAGGUAGGGGGCGGAGGCUCGUGUCUUCAUUCUUGAGAAUGUGAUGAAAAGCAGAGGUGAUUGUGGGCUGCUGCAGAGCUGUUUCUAGACUCCAUGGGGUGGAUGUCCGGCCAGGGCUGCUCUCUGUGAGGCCGGGGGCCAGAGCGGCAUACACUGCCCUCCAGACCUCAGCCCCCGCAGACCUUCCUUCUCUGCCUGCCUCUGCUGGGACUGGGUUCCCUUAUAUGUCUUCUGUUUCUCAUUUCAGUCGCUUAAAUAAGACUGAAAACCUGUAAGAGGCCCUGGCAGGAAGCCCCCAGCCAUGCUUCUCAGCCCCGGCAGGAAGCGCCCACUCCUGCUCCCCAGGUCCAUGUGCUCUGCCCAUCUCCCUCCGCACAAGGGUUUGGUUUGGUUUUUAAAAUUGAAACAUGAUUCAAAUACCGUAAAACUCAUCGUUUUAAAGAGGGCAGUUCAGCGGCGUUUCUCACGUUCACGAGGCAGUGCGGCCGUCACUACCACUUCUAGAAUGUUCCGUCAUCCCAGAAUGGAAACCCUGUGCCCACCGACACUCGUGCCCCGCUUUCUGCGGCCUCCGUGCCUGGGUUCUGUGGCCCAGCCUGAUGUUCCCGGGGCUCUCUGUGUCGUGUGUGCUGGGGUUUCACUCCUCAUGCUGGGCGGUGCUCCCUAGUUGGCCUGGGCUGCUGCGUGGUGACUGUGCCCUCUGCACCCUCCAUGCCUGCCACUCCCCUGUUGCUCGGGUGCUGAGCGCCUGGUUCAGGCCGAGGAUGCAGCCUCCGCAGCAGGGUGUACUGUGCUAGGUUGUUCUGUGUGUGUGUGUACGCGGCCACGGGGUUCAUUCCUGGCUGUGGGGCUGCUGGGCCCGGGCAGGGCCUCCUCCGUCUGUGUAUCUUGGUGGGUUUGGGCCUGCCACCACACUGACACCUCCUCCGUGUCACCUCCCACAGAUCUGGGCGGACCCCGGCAAAUACGCCCUGAUGGGAGCUGCUGCCCAGCUGGGCGGGAUUGUGCGGAUGACACUGAGCCUGACGGUCAUCAUGAUGGAGGCCACCAGCAACGUGACCUACGGCUUCCCCAUCAUGCUGGUGCUCAUGACCGCCAAGAUCGUGGGCGACGUCUUCAUUGAGGGCCUGUACGACAUGCACAUUCAGCUGCAGAGUGUGCCCUUCCUGCACUGGGAGGCCCCGGUCACCUCACACUCACUCACUGCCAGGGAGGUGAUGAGCACACCGGUGACCUGCCUGAGGCGGCGUGAGAAGGUCGGCGUCAUUGUGGACGUGCUGAGCGACACGGCGUCCAAUCACAACGGCUUCCCCGUGGUGGAGCAUGCUGAUGACACCCAGCCUGCCCGGCUCCAGGGCCUGAUCCUGCGCUCCCAGCUCAUCGUUCUCCUAAAGCACAAGGUGUUUGUGGAGCGGUCCAACAUGGGCCUGGUGCAGCGGCGCCUGAGGCUGAAGGACUUCCGUGACGCCUACCCGCGCUUCCCACCCAUCCAGUCCAUCCACGUGUCCCAGGACGAGCGGGAGUGCACCAUGGACCUCUCUGAGUUCAUGAACCCCUCCCCCUACACGGUGCCCCAGGAGGCAUCGCUCCCACGGGUGUUCAAGCUGUUCCGGGCCCUGGGCCUGCGGCACCUGGUGGUGGUGGACAACCGCAAUCAGGUUGUUGGGUUGGUGACCAGGAAGGACCUCGCCAGGUACCGCCUGGGAAAGGGAGGCUUGGAGGAGCUCUCGCUGGCCCAGACGUGAGGCCCAGCCCUGCCCAUGGUGGGCACUGGCGCUGGCACCCCAGCCCUUCUGCACUUCCUCCCGGAGUCACUGGUUUCUCGGCCCAAGCCAUGCUCCCCAGCAGUGGCAAUGGCGAGCACCCUGCAGCUGGGCGGGCGGCAGGCGCGGAACUGACCGUCUCGCGGGACUGACCCUGUUGUGGGCAGUGGUCUCCCCCCUUGGCGCCUCCUUGCGCAGGCCCAGCCUCCGCUCUCCUCGUCUAGGUUUCUUUACCUCCAGGGAUCAGCUGUGUGAGUGUGACCUCCCUACCGGGCUGUCGGCCUCUUGGGAGCCAGCGGCAGGGCCGGCACCUGCGUGCCUGUGCCCGUGUGCGUGAGACAGAGCCCUUGCCCCUGCUGCUGCCCCGAGGGCUGCCCUGCCCUGGAAGGGCCCCUCUGCCUCCACAACCAGUGGAGUCUUCGAGACUUGGGAGCUGCUUGGCCUCAUUUUCAGCCAUGAGCAGACGGCCUGUGGUCCCUGGGCCUGAGGCACGGACUCGUAGCACCAGGGUUUGGAGGCUGCGACCGCCCCGGAGAGCAGCUUCACAUUGGUGCCACAGAGGAGCCCCACGUGCACUCCCCGGCCUGCAUCCGGCUUGGGUACACGGGCCCAGAGGACUGGGGUGACUCACGGGCCCUGUGCUGUGAUGUUGAGAGCUGAGAAAAACCUCCAAGGCCCUGAGCCCCAUGCCCAGCCCUGCCUUGGUCCCCCAACCCCCAGAGCUUGGAGUCUGGGCCCCACACCCAGCCCUGCCUUGGUCCCUGAGCCUCAGAGUGUGGAAUGGCUGCCCUGUGGACACUGGCUGGGAAGGCAGGUCUUCCCCUAGCACAUGGGGACCCCGGCCUCGGGGGUGACCUCCCUACCCCGCCCCUGCCAGCCACCAAGCGCAGGUGCAGCAGGGGCCAGACUCCUGCCGGCCUCAGAGGACACCUGGCCCAGCACAGGCAGCUAGAAGGGCCGGCGGGCACCGGGGCCGGGAAGCCCCCACCUGACCACCUGAGGGCCCCUGGGAGGCUCCUCUGGCCUGGCUGGGCUGGGUCUGGGGCUGCCACAGGCCCCUCACGGGGCGUCAGAGGCAACUUCAGUGUCCCUGUUAGAGCAACACGGGUCCCUCCGUGCGGGGCUGGGUGCGGCCCCCUGCCGUGUAUUUCCUCCCCAGGGAGUGGGGCCUCCCCGGGAGCUGACGCCACCACCCUGCUUAGCCCUCACAGGGCCCCAAGGUGUCCGAGUGUGUUGGGUCUGAACGCGCGAAAUAAAGAAAUCCUCUCAGCCCGCCUUUGCCAGCGUCGUCCCUCCCACCCCACCCAGACCACGUCCAACAGCCUGGGACUUUCGGGACCCUGGGGUUGGGGCACCGUGUGGAGUGAGACAGGCGUGAAAGACAGCGGCUGCGGCCACCCAGGGCACCAGCCACAUCCUCUUCCUCGUCCCCACCCCUCAGCCUCCCUCCUGGGGGCCUCUGGCUCCUGGCUGGUGGGUCUGGGGGACAAGGCAGAGGCAGUGCAGGUGGAGGGGGGCGGGCCGGGGUGCCCACGCUGCAGUGACGCAGGAAGAAAACUCCCGGGCCUCAGAGUCGGUGCCGGAAACUCGGGUCUGGGUUUCCCUCGCGGUGGUUCUGUACUGAGGACCUGGAAGUGAUCAUAUUUUGGAUAUAUUCAGUUAAAUAAAAUCAGCGGUUAGGAUUCAC
rnacentral:sRNA from 1 species